UUUAUCUCUCUCAGCGCCGCAGUCGAACUUUCUCAAAUUUACAAUUGCAGAAGAAAAUGCAAUCCAGCCAAGAGUGGUGACCAUCUCCUUUGGAUUAUCUCUCCCGUUGAAGCUCGGUCUCAAGAAUUUACCAGCUACACACAAGGCCAUGUCUCAUUUUCGUCGAACAAUGCCCAAUGGAAGUUUGAGCCAGGGCAAUCCGAGACCUGUAGGUGCAGUCCAGUAUCGGAGGCCUCGCUUACGGAGGGUAGACAGAUCACGCCGGAGCUGGUCGGAUAGGGAAGAGCUUGCGCUUAUAGCAGCGAUGAAGGAGUUAGUUGCGACUGGUUGGAAAGCAGACA